rnacentral:rRNA from 1 species
AUACGUAGGGGCGAGCGUUGUCCGGAAUGAUUGGGCGUAAAGGGCGCGUAGGCGGCCCGGUAAGUCUGGAGUGAAAGUCCUGUUUUUAAGAUGGGAAUUGCUUUGGAUACUGUCGGGCUUGAGUGCAGGAGAGGUAAGUGGAAUUCCCAGUGUAGCGGUGAAAUGCGUAGAGAUUGGGAGGAACACCAGUGGCGAGGGCGACUUACUGGACUGUAACUGACGCUGAGGCGCGAAAGUGUGGGGAGCAAACAGGAUUAGAUACCCUGGUAGUCCACACUGUAAACGAUGAAUGCUAGGUGUAGGGGGUAUCGACCCCUUCUGUGCCGCAGUCAACACAAUAAGCAUUCCACCUGGGGAGUACGGCCGCAAGGUUGAAACUCAAAUGAAUUGACGGGG